GGACUACCGGGGUAUCUAAUCCCGUUUGCUCCCCACGCUUUCGUGCCUUAGUGUCAAGAACGAGCCAGUAGACUGCCUACGCCAUCGGUGUUCCUCCCAAUAUCUACGGAUUUCACUCCUACACUGGGAAUUCCAUCUACCUCUCUCGUCUUCUAGCUUGGCAGUUCAGAUAAUGGAUAUAUGGUUGAGCCACACGAUUUCACUAUCUGCUUACCAUGCCACCUACGCAACUCUUUACGCCCAGUAAUUCCGGAUAACGCUCGGAUCCUCCGUAUUACCGCGGCUGCUGGCAC
rnacentral:rRNA from 1 species